AACGUAGGAGACAAACGUUAUCCGGAGUUACUGGGCGUAAAGGGCGUGUAGGCGGUUUGUUAAGUCUGGCGUGAAAGCUCUCGGCUAAACCGGGAGAGGUCGUUGGAUACUGGCAAACUAGAGGAUGGUAGAGGCGUGUGGAAUUCCUGGUGUAGCGGUGGAAUGCGCAGAUAUCAGGAGGAACACCAAUUGCGAAGGCAGCUCGCUGGGACGUUACUGACGCUGAGACGCGAAAGCGUGGGGAGCAAACAGG
rnacentral:rRNA from 1 species